rnacentral:misc_RNA from 1 species
GAUGAAGAACGUAGCGAAAUGCGAUAAGUAAUGUGAAUUGCAGAAUUCAGUGAAUCAUCGAAUCUUUGAACGCACCUUGCGCUCCUUGGUAUUCCGAGGAGCAUGCCUGUUUGAGUGUCAUUAAUAUAUCAACCUCUUCAGCUUAUGCUUGUUGAGUGUUGGAUGGUGGGGGUUUGCUGGUGUCUUAUGAAGUCAGCUCCUCUGAAAUGCAUUAGCGGAACAAUUUGUUGACCGUUCAUUGGUGUGAUAAAAAUAUCUACGCUAUUGACGUCAGUCAGUUCAGCUUCUAACAGUCCAUUGACUUGGACAAAUUUUUCAUUAAUGUGACCUCAAAUCAGGUAGGACUACCCGCUGAACUUAAGCAUAUCAAUAAGCGGAGG